CUUAAGUGAUGACAUUACCUUGUGAAAGUCCUUUUCCUGGCUUAUCCUGGCUCAAAAAGCACCCCCACUGAGCACCUUGCAACCCCCACUCCUGCCCGCCAGAGAACAAACCCCCUUUGACUGUAAUUUUCCUUUACCUACCCAAAUCCUAUAAAACGGCCCCACCCUUAUCUCUCUUUGCUGACUCUCUUUUCGGACUCAGCCAGCCUGCACCCAGCUGAAAUAAACAGCCAUGUUGCUCACACAAAGCCUGUUUGGUUGUCUCUUCACACGGACGUGCAUGAAAUUUGGUGCCAUGACACGGAUCGGGGGACCUCCCUUGGGAGAUCAAUCCCCUGUCCUCCUGUUCUUUGCUCCGUGAGAAAGAUCCACCUAUGACCUCAGGUCCUCAGACCAACCAGCCCAAGGAACAUCUCACCAAUUUUAAAUCAGGUAAGCGGCCUCUUCUUACUCUCUUCUCCAACCUCUCUCACUGUCCCUCAACCACUUUCUCCUUUUCACUCUUCAAUCUCUCCCUUCUCUUAAUUUCAAUUCCUUUCAUUUUCUGGGAGAGACAAAGGAGACACAUUUUAUCCGUGGACACAAAACUCCGGCGCCGGUCACAGACUGGGAAGGCAGCCUUCCCUUGGUGUUUAAUCAUUGCAGGGACACCUCUCUGAUUAUACACCCACAUUUCAAGGGUGUCAGACUACGCAGGGACGCCUACCUUGGUCCUUCACCCUUAGCGGCAAGUCCCACUUUUCUGGGGAAGGGGCAAAUACCCCAACCCCUGCUCUCCUUGUCUCUACCCCUUCUCUGCUUUUCUGGGAGAGGGGCAAGUACCCCUCAACCCCUUCUCCUUCACCCUUAGUGGCAAGUCCUGCUUUUCUGGGAGAGGGGCAAGUACCCCUCAACCCCUUCUCCUUCACCCUUAGCGGCAAGUCCUGCUUUUCUGGGAGAGGGGCAAGUAUCCCUCAACCCCUUCUCCUUCACCCUUAGUGGCAAGUCCCACUUUUCUACAGGGCAAGAACCCCCAAUCCCUUAUUUCCACACUCCAACCUCUUAUCUCUGUGCCCCAAUCCCUUAUUUCUGCACCCCAACCUCUUAUCUCUGUGCCCCAAUCCCUUAUAUCUGCACCCCAACCUCUUAUCUCUGUGCCCCAAUCCCUUAUAUCUGCACCCCAACCUCUUAUCUCUGUGCCCCAAUCCCUUAUUUCCACACCCCGACCUCUUAUCUCUGUGCCCCAAUCCCUUAUUUCUGCACCCCGACCUCUUAUCUCUGUGUCCCAAUCCCUUAUUUCCGAGCCCCAACCUCAUAUCUCUGCGCCCCAAUCCCUUAUUUCUGUGCCCCAACCUUUUAUAUCUCUGUGCCCCAAUCCCUUAUUUCCGAGCCCCAACCUCAUAUCUCUGCGCCCCAAUCCCUUAUUUCUGUGCCCCAACCUUUUAUAUCUCUGUGCCCCAAUCCCUUAUUUCUGCACCCCAACCCCCUUUCCCACUUUUCUGGAAGGUAAGAACCCCCAAACCCCAUCCAUCCAUUUCUAUACUCUCUCUUUUCUCUAGGCUUCCUUCCUUCACUAUGGGCAACCUUCCACCCUCCAUUCCUCCUUCUACUCCCUUGGCCUGUGUUCUCAAAAACUUAAAACCUCUUCAACUCACACCUGACCUAAAACCUAAAUGCCUUAUUUUCUUCUGCAAUGCCACUUGACCCCAAUACAAACUCGACAGUAGUUCCAAACAGCCAGAAAAUGGCACUUUGAAUUUUUCCAUCCUGCAAGAUCUAAAUAAUUUUUGUCGUAAAAGAGGCAAAUGGUCUGAGAUGCCUGACGUCCAGGCAUUCUUUUACACAUCAGUCCCUUCCUAGUCUCUGUACCCAGUGCAACUCGUCCCAAAUCUUCCUUCUUUCCCUCCUGCCUGUCCCCUCAGUACCAACACCAAGCAUCGCUGAGUCCUUCUAAUCUUCCUUUUCUACAGACCCAUCUGACCUCUCCCUUCCUCCCCAGGCUGCUCCUUGCCAGGCCAAGCUAGGUCCCAAUUCUUCCUCAGCCUCUGCUCCUCCACCCUAUAAUCUUUUUACCACCUCCCCUCCUCACACCUGGUCCGGCUUACAGUUUCCUUCCAUGAUUAGCCCUCCCCCACCUGCCCAGCAAUUUACUCUUUAAAAGGUGGCUGGAGCUAAAGGCAUAGUCAAGGUUAAUGCUCCUUUUUCUUUAUCCCAAAUCAGAUAGCAUUUAGGCUCAUUUUCAUCAAAUACAAAAAUCCAGCCCAGUUCAUGGCUCGUUUGGCAGCAACCCUGAGACGCUUUACAGCCCUAGACCCUAAAAGGUCAAAAGGCCGUCUUAUUCUCAAUAUACAUUUUAUUACCCAAUCUGCUCCCAACAUUAAAUAAAACUCCAAAAACUGGAAUUUGGUCCUCAAACCCCACAACAGGACUUAAUUAACCUCACCUUCAAGGUGUGCAAUAACAGAAAAAAGUUGCAAUUCCUUGCCUCCACUGUGAGACAAACCCCAGCGACAUCUCCAGCACACAAGAACUUCCAAACGCCUGAACUGCAGCAGCCAGGUGUUCUUCCAGAACCUCCUCCCCCAGGAGCUUGCUACAAGUGCCAGAAAUCUGACCACCAGGCCAAGGAAUGCCUGCAGCCCAGGAUUCCUCCUAAGCUGUGUCCCAUCUGUGUGGGACCCCACUGGAAAUCGAACUGUUCAACUCACCUGGCAGCCAUUCUCAGAGCCCCUGGAACUCUGGCCCAAGGCUCUCUGACUCCUUCUUGGCUUACCGGCUGAAGACUGACGCUGCCUGAUCGUCUCAGAAGCCCCGUAGACCAUCACGGACGCCGAGCUUUAGGUAACUCACAGUGGAGGUUCUGCACUGUCAUCGCCUUUCUGGUGUGGUUCCUGAUAGCACUCUCCAAUCAACCCCCUGUAAGGCAAUCUCAUUUUGGGAAACCCAACCUAUGACUGCAAUGCAAACAUUCUUUUCUACCUUUGUUAUAGAAUCUUUUAUUAAAUUGACAUUGCUCAUGAA